GACGAACGCUGGCGGCGUGCCUAAUACAUGCAAGUUGAGCGCUGAAGGUUGGUACUUGUACCAACUGGAUGAGCAGCGAACGGGUGAGUAACGCGUGGGGAAUCUGCCUUUGAGCGGGGGACAACAUUUGGAAACGAAUGCUAAUACCGCAUAAAAACUUUAAACACAAGUUUUAAGUUUGAAAGAUGCAAUUACAUCACUCAAAGAUGAUCCCGCGUUGUAUUAGCUAGUUGGUGAGGUAAAGGCUCACCAAGGCGAUGAUACAUAGCCGACCUGAGAGGGUGAUCGGCCACAUUGGGACUGAGACACGGCCCAAACUCCUACGGGAGGCAGCAGUAGGGAAUCUUCGGCAAUGGACGAAAGUCUGACCGAGCAACGCCGCGUGAGUGAAGAAGGUUUUCGGAUCGUAAAACUCUGUUGGUAGAGAAGAACGUUGGUGAGAGUGGAAAGCGCAUCAAGUGACGGUAACUACCCAGAAGGGGACGGCGAACUACGU
rnacentral:rRNA from 1 species